UGGGGAAUUUUGCACAAUGGGCGGAAGCCUGAUGCAGCGACGCCGUGUGGGGGAUGAAGGCCUUCGGGUUGUAAACUCCUUUCGUCAGGGACGAAGUUUGUUUGACGGUACCUGGAUAAGAAGCACCGGCUAACUACGUGCCAGCAGCCGCGGUAAUACGUAGGGUGCGAGCGUUGUCCGGAUUUACUGGGCGUAAAGGGCUCGUAGGUGGUGUGUUGCGUCGUCUGUGUAAUCCAGGGGCUUAACUUUUGGUUGGCAGGCGAUACGGGCAUUGCUUGAGUGCUGUAGGGGAGACUGGAAUUCCUGGUGUAGCGGAGAAAUGCGCAGAUAUCAGGAGGAACACCGAUGGCGAAGGCAGGUCUCUGGGCAGUUACUGACGCUGAGGAGCGAGAGCAUGGGUAGCGAACAGG
rnacentral:rRNA from 1 species